UGGGGAAUAUUGGACAAUGGGCGGAAGCCUGAUCCAGCAACGCCGCGUGAGGGAUGACGGCCUUCGGGUUGUAAACCUCUUUCAGCAGGGACGAAGCGCAAGUGACGGUACCUGCAGAAGAAGCACCGGCCAACUACGUGCCAGCAGCCGCGGUAAUACGUAGGGUGCGAGCGUUGUCCGGAAUUAUUGGGCGUAAAGGGCUCGUAGGCGGUUUGUCGCGUCGGGAGUGAAAACCAGGUGCUUAACACCUGGCUUGCUUUCGAUACGGGCAGACUAGAGGUAUUCAGGGGAGAACGGAAUUCCUGGUGUAGCGGUGAAAUGCGCAGAUAGCAGGAGGAACGCCGGUGGCGAAGGCGGUUCUCUGGGAAUGACCUGACGCGGAGGAGCGAAAGUGUGGGGAGCGAACAGG
rnacentral:rRNA from 1 species